UUUAAACUUCUACACCUAAAUUUAAUCUUAAUCCAACAUCGAGGUCGCAAUCUUUUUUAUCGAUAUGAACUCUCCAAAAAAAUUACGCUGUUAUCCCUAAAGUAACUUAUUCUUAUAAUCUAUAUAAUAAGAUCAUCAAUUCAUAAAUUAAUGAUAUUUUCAAAUAAAAGUUAAUUCAAUUUUACUAUCACCCCAAUAAAAUAUUUUAUUAUAUAAUAAUAAAUUUAAUUAUACUAUAAUUAUUAUAUAUAUAAUUUAUAUAAAGAUUUAUAGGGUCUUCUCGUCUUUUAAAUUCAUUUUAGCUUUUUAACUAAAAAAUAAAAUUUUAUUACAAAUUUACAUAAAACAGUUAAUAUUUCGUCCAACCAUUCAUUCCAGCCUUCAAUUAAAAGACUAAUGAUUAUGCUACCUUUGCACAGUCAAUAUACUGCGGCCAUUUAAAUAAUCAGUGGGCAGGUUAGACUUUAAAUUUAAAUUCAAAAAGACAUGUUUUU
rnacentral:rRNA from 1 species